GUGCUCACUUCGGCAGCACACAUACUAAAAUUGGAACGAUACAGAGAAGAUUAGCAAGGCCCCUGCACAAGGAUGACACGCAAAUUCACGAAGCGUUCCAUAUUUUU
ensembl:snRNA U6 U6 spliceosomal RNA